rnacentral:rRNA from 1 species
UGCAAGUCGAGGGGCAUCAGGGUGUAGCAAUACACCGCUGGCGACCGGCGCACGGGUGAGUAACACGUAUCCAACCUGCCCUUUACUCGGGGAUAGCCUUUCGAAAGAAAGAUUAAUACCCGAUGGUAUAACAUGACCUCCUGGUUUUGUUAUUAAAGAAUUUCGGUAGAGGAUGGGGAUGCGUUCCAUUAGGCAGUUGGCGGGGUAACGGCCCACCAAACCUUCGAUGGAUAGGGGUUCUGAGAGGAAGGUCCCCCACAUUGGAACUGAGACACGGUCCAAACUCCUACGGGAGGCAGCAGUGAGGAAUAUUGGUCAAUGGGCGAGAGCCUGAACCAGCCAAGUAGCGUGAAGGAUGACCGCCCUAUGGGUUGUAAACUUCUUUUAUAUGGGAAUAAAGUCUGCCACGUGUGGCAUUUUGUAUGUACCAUAUGAAUAAGGAUCGGCUAACUCCGUGCCAGCAGCCGCGGUAAUACGGAGGAUCCGAGCGUUAUCCGGAUUUAUUGGGUUUAAAGGGAGCGUAGGUGGACAUGUAAGUCAGUUGUGAAAGUUUGCGGCUCAACCGUAAAAUUGCAGUUGAUACUGCGUGUCUUGAGUACAGUAGAGGUGGGCGGAAUUCGUGGUGUAGCGGUGAAAUGCUUAGAUAUCACGAAGAACUCCGAUUGCGAAGGCAGCUCACUGGACUGCAACUGACACUGAUGCUCGAAAGUGUGGGUAUCAAACAGGAUUAGAUACCCUGGUAGUCCACACAGUAAACGAUGAAUACUCGCUGUUUGCGAUAUACAGUAAGCGGCCAAGCGAAAGCAUUAAGUAUUCCACCUGGGGGAGUACGCCGGCAACGGUGAAACUCAAAGGAAUUUGACGGGGGCCCGCACCAGCGGAGGAACAUGUGGUUUAUUUCGAUGAUACGCGAGGAACCUUACCCGGGCUUAAAUUGC